AAUUUUGCCAUUUCAUGACAAAAAGUCAUAAUUUUAUGAAAGACACAGAGGCAGGUAUUGUCCCUUUUCACUUUUUGGCUUUGAUUCUGCCUUCCUUCUUUCUCGUUUUAUUAUGCUUCACUGCGGUCAUAUUUUCUUCCGUGCUAUUCUCUGUUAUUUCUGAUAUUUCUUCGGUCAGGUUUGUGUUGUAUGAUUUUUGACAUUUACAUUAUUUGUUUUGUUUAUGGGUCUUAUGUAAGCAUUUGCAUGCUUCAUUCUAUGGUCUUGUGGUUUAUAAUCCCUGUCUGAACUGAUGUGAUGCCAUUGGUUGUUCCGUGAUGUCUAACCCUGGGUUACACCUCGUCCUUUGUAAUUUUUAGCUGAUGUUCCAUGAGUUUCAGCUGUUUGAGCUGUUGUUGGAUCCUGCUCUUCCUGUCACGUUCUUGGUUACAACCUCAAUGUUGAAGGUGUCUGUUUGCUGCAGUUCUGGUUCCUGGUCAUGACUUGUCAAUUUUUGCUCUAUUGCUGUUGUAUUGUUGGCUCAUCAAAGAUAGAGGAAGUUAGGGGUGUGAUCCUGAAUUAUAUAGGGAUGGAGUUUGGGAGAUUACAUUUUAAGCAUUCUUUUUUCUAUUGUUUUUUUUUCUUUGCUGAUGUUUUAAGUAAAGAAAGAGAAAUGCAUAAUAUGAGCCUCCAUGCCUUUCACAACACAGCGGCAUAGGGAGCCACGACAAUGCAAGCCUCUAAAGAUGAAUACAGAGACUACCUCUCUGUAUCCAAAACUGUAAGCCUGCCAUUUAAUAUAUCUACAGGUUCUUAUAAACAUGCUAAUGGGCCUUAUGUUUGAGUUUCGCCUAAGACCUUGCAAAGUCUAGAGCCGCUCCUUCAUGAGUCCAAAGCUGUGAGAAUUUAAUUUACAUCAGAGUAGAUUUUUAAUAUAUAUUUUGUUUGAAUAAUUUUAGUGUAUUUUUCUCAACCUGGGUUGUUUGGCUGUGAUAUACUAAAGAGGUUUACAUUAAGAAAAAAACUCAAUUAGCAAAGUUCAAAUGUAUAUUGACAAGAUUUAUGGAACCUGCUUCUAUAGACUUAAAAUAUCUGCUUCUUAUGAUCAACUGCUUAUAUUUUGCAAUGGAAUUUCUAAAAAAUUCCAACACAUUCCAGUGUUUGACAGAGUUAUUCCUUAUGGGUAAUGCAACUACAUGUAACCCUGUAAUAUCUCUCUUUUCCCUGAUAAACUAAUGUACAGUUAGUGAAAUGCUUGUAGAAAAAUAAAUGAGGACAGACAGAAUGUGUGUUAAAAAUGACCCUAUGAGAAGCAUGACAAAUUAAUCAGAAUUAAGUUGUUAUGAUGCCACGAGGUUCCUUGCACUUACUUACAUUUACUCUGAUCAGCUUACCUUUACUCUGAUCAGACCUGGACUUAAGAUUGAGGUUAACAAAGUCUUCAGUCUGGUGCUGGUCAGCUAUUCCCCAAACUUAUAUUUGAACCCAAAGCUUAAAUCUGGAACCCUAGACAGGGGUGCUGCUACUAAGCUAAGUCACCAAAUGUUCUCUCAUAUUAUAAUUAGAGCCCCUACCUUCUUACCUAUGAGUUGGAGUUGAGGGGACGCUAGCUCUCCUCCCCCUGUAUAAAGUUAGUAGCCCAGACCCCCUGGGGAGAACUGGGGGCUAUUAGUAUGCCUUCCUAUUUAAUAUAAUAGCCCUCACCUACUGAUGUCCAUGUGUGGGGGUGUGGAGGAGGGUAUAUACUCCCCAUUAUUUUACAGGUCUUAUCUGCAUGGGAUGUGGCCUUUCUUGUGACUGAGCAGUAAUAUCUUCUCAGUUGCUAGUUUUUUUUAAUGUUUAGUAGAUAUACCACCAUCUAUUGGCAGGAAGGGAUACAGGGAUGCUAAAAACCUCCCUUAUAGUAAUAUAUCGUAAAAUAAGCUUGUUUUUUAUUUUAUUUUAUACUUUUAUGUGGCGGCUAGCGAGCAAGUGCUGGUCAGCUGCCACAUGGUUAACUCUUGCAGUGCCAAGGAUUUUUAACUAUUUAUCCACUAGAUGCUAGCACUUAAUAUCAUUGUUCGCUUGCAAAAAGUGAAAAAUUAUUUGCGUACGUGUAUCCUAAUUGAUCAAUUUAGUCACAAAAUGCAACUAGCUGAUUGCUACAGAACUCCUACCGGAUUUGGCUUUAGUAAAUAUGAGAAUUGCCAUUCCAGUAGGAUUUGGGCCACAUUUAGCAGAUGGACAAAAUCCAGUGUUUAGUUAAUUACUCUGUAAGGGUUAUUUAGUAAAACGAGGAUUGCUGAUAAUUCAAAGUGAAUUUAAAUUGAAUUUUGAAUUAUUUUUAAAAAAAGUCAAUAUGAAAUAGCCAAGCUGGGACAUUCUCAAAUACAGCUACUCUUCCAGCUAUUUCAGCCUUAAAGAGGGGCUCUAAGCACCAAAACAACUUUAGCUGAAAGGGACCCUCCACUACCCCAAAUGCAAAAGAAAUAAAAAUCAAAGAUUAGCAGAUAUUUCUCAUUGGGAGUAUAAAAAUAUAUUUUAAAAGCCACACAUCUCUUGUCUGAAGCCUUUGCAAACCAUCCUCUUCAUAUCCAGCCCAAUCACAAACUUCUCAAUGAUAAUCUAGAGUUUAUAAUCAUUGCGCUAAAUAACCAGGAAGUAACAUAGCUGGUUGUCUGACUGACAACCAGUGGGGUGUAACAAUGUUUAUUUCUGAAAGUAUUGAUUUCUAUUGAAAUCUACACUUUUUGUAAAAAAAAAAAAAAGAUGACACACUCUUUACACACAAAGCACUUCAGAAAGUAUCCUUUAAUUAAGUGGUUUUAGUAUAUAGGUCAUGCCCCUGCAGCCUCACUGCUUAAUUCUCUGUCAUUUAAUAGUUAAAUCACCGUUGAUUUUGUUUAUGCAGCACUGUCCACACUUCUCCUGGCUUGACUUACACAGCUUACAAAAAAAAAAUGGUUUAAAGUUCAAUCAGAUGUGACAACACAGUGUGUUUACUUAGAAAGUUCUUUUUAUCUCCUGCUCUGUUAAUUGGACUUUAAUAACACACAGGAGGCUUUUACAGGCAUUCUAUUAAUAGAGCAGGCGAUAAACAAAUUUUAAAUUAAACAGACUUUGCAGUAAAGGAAGUUUACCAUUAUCUCUUAAGAAACGUGUAGGGAGACUGUAUAUGUCAUAUGCAGGGAGGUGUGACUAGGGCUAUAUAUACAUAUACAAAGUCAUUUAUAUCCUAAAUGGACAGAAAUUGAUCAACUAGACUGCAAGAAACCUUGAUCUAUGCACCAAAACCACUCCAUUUACCUACCGUUGCUAUAGUGCUUAUAAUGUCCCUUUAAAUUGAAAUACAUUUUGAAUUCCCAACGAUUUCCACUUCACAGAGUGCUUGGUCUAAUCUUACAUCAGAUAUGAUUCUUACUUUGGUCAUGGGAAAAUUUAAGUGAAGUAGCCUUACAUUAUAAAUGGCUGUUCUCUUACUAGUGGUGAUCCUGAGCUUUGUAUAUAUGUACAUUUUAAUUAUAACUACAAAACUAUCUUAAAUAUUUGGAUUAUUACAUCACUGCAGUGUUGUAAUGUUCAAUGUUUCUGUUGGCUAUGAUUUAUUUCACUGUUACAUCUGUCAGCUGGAGAGUGUGACUCAGAUCACUACAUUAUAAUAUUAAACGAGAUAAGUAUUUUAAAGUGUUUUAAAUCUCCAUAUAUAGAACCAGUGGUGCACGCAUUGAUUCCAAGUCCAAGUGUUUUAGGACACAAAUGACCCUGUAAAAAUGUUUUGAUUAUGUUCAAAGCCAACGCCUUCCUGUGAAGUUUUAUCAUGAACUUUGUCGUGGGAAAACAUUUAAACAUUUGUAAACUUGUCACAUUCAGUUCAGUGUAAUAGUGGACAUGAACCCUCCAUGAGCAUUCUAUUAAAGAAUCAGACAAGUAAAAAUGGAAAGUGUUGCAUAAUAUUAAAAACCCUGCAAGAAACAAAUAAAAAAAAAAAACACACAUGCUCAUUAGGAUAUCACAAAAAUCAUAGCUGAUGUAUCUCCUCCUUGGCAUUGUGUUAACAUACAUCUGAAUGCUCUAGCCAAGCAAACUGCCAAAACUUCAGCUUUUACAGAGGUGGUCACACUUGCUGAUGACCAAUAAAUCAAGGUCAUUUGAUUAGCAGCACCACUCUGUUUAAAAGUGUGUAGUUUUUCACACAUGACAUUUUUGGCUUUAUUUUUGUUAAACAAAUCAUGACAGUGCAAUAUGUCAUGUGUUGUUGUUCAUCUGAGGUUGUGUUUACCUACUUUUAAUACCUGCUAAGAAACAGAUGAUUAUUAUGUCCUGAUAUGUAGAUCCAUAGAAUUCAAACAGGGUGCAUUAUUAGAAAUAUAUUUAACUGCAUUCAUUUAUACAAAAUUGUUGAAUUUGUGUUUUAAGGGGCACUAGAAGCACCAUUAGAAUGAUGACAAGGUGCCUGUGAAUCAGGGAUUUUGCCCAAACCUUGAUGCUAUUCUUUAGCCAAUUGCCAGGCAAGCUCAGAUAAUGAAUGUCAUUCAAAACCAUAUGGCACAUAUGAACAGAGAUGUACUGGCACCAUAAUCUCAGCCAUGGACUGUAAUGGUUAUGGUGCUUAGAUUUCCCCUUUACAUUUCCAAAUGUAUGCAGGUACCUCUGGCACCCAGACAUUGUUGAUUUUAGUGUAGUGUGUUACAGUUGGACCGGCACUGUAUUAAGUAUGUUUUGUUAAACUAAGUUUUUAAUGUACAUCAUAUGUGUAGUUGCUGUAAAGAAGAAUGAAAGAGCUGACUGGAGUGUUCUCCUGCUCUCGCCUAUCAGUCAAUUUUUAGACAUGUGUGCCCAGGAACAUUGAUAGGUGAGAUAUGUAAUAUAUUUGCUAGAAACUCGGCAAGCAUAAUUUGUAUAUGACAUUUUAUAAUAUUUAAUUUGAAAGGUACAUUAUUCUGAACAAUACUGCUCUGUUGCCCUUGGUCAAUUAGGUCCAGCCCCAACUGUUCAAAAACAAAACCUGGAAUACAUUGCCUCCAGGAUGACAGUGUCAGGAUUACAAGUUGAUCCAGCACGUAGAACUGUAUCACACCUAGGACUAACAGGUAAUGUCUUACUGGGCCUUAGAAUGGCCAAACUUAACGUACCAGAGAAUAUUCAGGAUACUUGCCGAGGUCGGGGACACAGAAUGAAACACAACGAUGAGGGAAAGCCAAAAGUCAGGGAUACCAGAAUACAGGGAAGUCAAACAAAGCCAAAGUCAAUAACCAGAAAUAAACGGUCAGGAACACACUCUUGGACAACCAAUAGGGAAACAACGACAGGGCAAAGAGGGAAAGGAAGAAUGCAUUUUAAUAAGCCUUAAACACUUCCGAUUGGCCAAAAUUGGCCUUUGAACCCAGAACGUAAGCGCGUCUCCUGCAUGACGUCACAUGCACGCCGACGUCAUAAUCACCGUGGACGGACGUGGGCCACAGCGGCUGGCGUCUACCAACGUGCCGCAGAUACCGCAAGGUGGGGAUGAAUAUGUUACAGACAGGCCAAUCCAUUGCUCCUUAUAGGGAAGCAUUGGUGAACGUAAGUGCAUGUGCGCCGCUCACCGCAAGUGGCGUACAAUUCCACAGUCAAUGAUUCUCUAUGGCAACUGUAACAGUGCACAAGUGAUGUCAGGGAAGGGUAUGAGAGUCAGGAAGUAAGAUAGCUAGCAUUCUACCUCAAAGAUAUGAAUAAUGCCUGGAAUUUGCCUUGUCACAUGCAUCCCUUGAUUGACAGGUCAUUAAUUUCAUUGUAACUCUGCAGAAAAAAAUGUCUUACCAUCAUUUCGUAGCUACAAAUGAGGAAUUAUCAGCUUUCAUUGUUUAAUUAAAACAAGACGUAUACGCAUUGGGCUAUCUUGUCUCUUAAUAAAUACCUACAUAUGUGGUGAGCUGGGUUCACCGUAUUGUCUGAGUCAUAGGCGUGCACAGCCUAUUGUAUAAGGGUGUGCACCCAAAAGCAGAAACACACACACCGCGUAAAUAUAUAUAUAUAUAUGCAUACACAUACAUACACACACACCUGUGUGUGUGGAGGCGCUGUGUGUGUGUGUGGAGGCGCUGUGUGUGAAGGCGCUGUGUGUGUGUGAAGAUGCUGUGUGUAAGGGUGCUGUUAGUGUGUGCUGUGUGUGUGUGUGUAUGUGUAAGGGUGCUGUUAGUGUGUGUGUGUGUGUGUGUGUGUGAGGGUGCUGUGUGUGUAAGGGUGUGUGUGUGUAUGUGUGUGUGCUGUGUGUAUGUUGGUGUGUGUGUGUGUGCUGUGUGUGUGUGUGCUGUUGGGUGUGCUGUGUGUGUUGCUGUGUGGGGGUGUUGUGUGUGUGUGUGCUGUUGUGUGUGCUGUGUGUGUGAGGGUGCUGUGUGUAAGGGUGCUGUUAAUGUGUGCUGUGUGUGUGUAAGGGUGCUGUGUGUGAGGGUGCUGUUAGCAUGUGUAUGUGUAAGGGUGCUGUUAGUGUGGGAUGUGUGUGUAUGUGUGAGGGUGCUGUGUGUGUAAGGGUGUUGUUAGUGUGAGGGUGCUGUUAGUGUGUGUGUGUGUGUGUGUUAGGUGUGCUGUGUGUGUGUGUAAGGGUGCUGUGUGUAAGGGUGCUGUUAGUGUGUAUGUGUAAGGGUGCUGUGUGUGUAAGGGUGCUGUUAGUGUGUGCUGUGUGUGUGUAUGUGUGAGGGUGCUGUGUGUGUAAGGGUGUUGUUAGUGUGAGGGUGCUGUGUAUGCUGUAUGUGUAAGGGUAAUGUAUGUGUGUGUGUGCUGUUUGUGUGUAAUGUGUGGGCUGUGGGGGCCGUUUAGUUAAUAUCCCCCCUCCCUUCUUACCUUAUGUAGGGAGGGGGGACUGUGCUGCUGCCUUCCCUGGUGGUCCAGUAGAGAGUAAACUCUAGCCCCCUGUGGGGCUAGAGUUCACUCUCGCGAGAUCUGAGCGUUGCCACGGUAACCGCGCAAGAGGAACCCGGCGGAGCUGCUGGCAAGAGCUUCCUGGGUCCUCUCCUGCUUCCCUCACAUCCUGUGGGUCGGUGAGGGAGAUCCACGGAGGGAGGCACAUAGCACGUGCCGCAGGGAUUAGGGUGUGCCUAGGCACACCCAGUACACCCCGUGCGCACGCCUAUGGUCUGAGUGAAAAUUCUAAUGGCAAUCUAAACAGGAUACACUGAAGAAAUAUGUUGACAAUGUACAUUGUUUUUCAAUGUAUGAUUUGCUUAUGCUUUCCUUUUGUGUUGCAGAGAUGAGCAGUGAUAGCUAAAUAGGUCAUUUGUUUUACUUCUAUAUCCAUUUUGUCCUGUACUAAGUGCAGGCUGGUUCAUAGGGGCAGGUGGGGCAAUGCAUCCCAAUCUUUGUUGCAACAAAAGAAAAAAAAAUAACGGCAUGGUAAGGACUAAUGACACAUGUAUACUAGAAAAACAAAAUGUGCCUGUCUCCUCCCCAUUUCUUGAUGGCUGAAGAUGUUGCCGAAAAACUGGUCAAAUAAACAUAUCACAAUUUGGGGGGUAUUUCAGAAAGAAUUUCCCCAUUUUCUGGGUACAGACCCCUCAGAUAUGCAUAGUCUAAUGGGAUUUCUGAUGUUACUCACUGAUUUUGCAAGUGGUUGUUUCUUAAAUACAUUCAUCUAUGCAAUGUAUAGAGCAUGACCUCUCAUUUUGUUUGGGGUUGAAAUCAUGGGCUUACAUCGGUCCAACAAGUCAAAUGGAGACAGAUUUUGAGGGUGGAAUUUAGUGACUAACCAACUUUAAACUUCACCAGCCACCACUGAUUGUUCUCCGCAUGAUCUUAUGUCAAUCAUUUAUCUUGCUGAUAAUCAUGGGAAAUUUAGUGCACAGCGGACCUUGUAAUAUAACCCCUGCAAAUAGUUUGAUGUUGUCUAUCGUAUAAUUUUGUUGAAAACAGAGCUACUGAAAGAUACAGUGACUAUUCUCCAGGGAUAUUAAUGGAAUGUGCUCAUUAGUUAUUUGGAUAUUAAUGUAUAUGAAGUACUGAGGCUGAUGCAUUACCUGGGUGGUCUAUAAAUGGUCAGCAAUAAAACUGUAAAAAUGUAAAUAUUUACACUAAUAUCUGAAUAGAUUUCAAGGGCAUGAUAGAGUAUGCAAGAGAAGGAUUGUGUGCAUACAAGAUAAAAAGGAUGUUGAAAAUGUCAGAGUGUAAGGAAAAAAUAAAGGCAUGUAACAAUGUUCACCAAUUGUCCUUCCUUGAACCACUUUUGGUAGGUACUAACCACUGCAUACUUGGAACACCAGACAAGAUUUGCUGUUUUGAAGAUGCUCUGAACGCCAUUGCCAUGAAGGUGUGUAUGGUCUGCAACACCACCAGGUUGGUGUUAUGUGUCAAAGUAACAUCUACAUGAAUGCCAGUACCCAAGCUUUCCCAGCAGAGCAUUGCUCAGACCAUAAUACCACCUUCAAAGGCUUUCCUUCUUCCCAUAGUGCAUUCUGCUUCCAUCUCUUCCCCUAUUAAAUGAUGCAUGAGCACAGGUCUAUCCAAAUGAGUCACCAGACCAGGAAAGCUUCUUCCAUUACUCCAUUGAUUCUUCCAAUGCUAACGUCCCCAUUGAAUGCACUUUCAGUGGUGGACAUAGCUCAUCAUGGGCAAUCUGACAUGCGCAGCCUCAUAUGCAGCAAACUGUGAUGCACUGUGUGUUCUGACACCUUUCUAUCAUGGCCAGCUGUAGUUUUUCAGCAAUUUGAGGUAAAUAAGCUCUUCUGUGGGAUUGGACCAGACAGGCUAGCCUUUGCUCCCCACGUGCAUCAAUGAGCCUUGGGUGUUGAUGACCCUGAUGCCGGUUCACCGGUUGUCCGUCAUUGCAGCACUUUUGAGAGGAACUAGCCACUGUAUACCCAGAACUCCUCAGAUGACUUGCCAACUUGAAGAUACUCUGAUCAAGUUAUUUAUUUAUCACUAUUUGGCCUUUGUUCAAGUCACUCAUAUCCUUUCGCUUGUCCAUUUUACCUGCUUCCAUCACAUGAAUUUCAAGAACUGAAUGUUCCCACCCCACCCCUUGACAGGUAUCAUUGUAACAAUAUAAUCAAUGUUAUUCACUUCACCUGUAAGAGAUUUUAAUGUUGUGGAUUAUCAGAAGUGUAACUAGAAACCAAGGGGCCCCAGUGCAAAAGAUUGCCCUGGGCCCUCCCCCAUACAUCUCACCCCCCACCCCUUAGCUCCUCCAUGAGUCUCAUUCACGCCCCACAGGGUUAGUGUGGCAGGGUUGGGAGGUUGAGUAUGACAGAAUUGGAGCGGUUAAUGAGACAGGGAGAGUGUGGCAGGGUGAAAGGGGGUGAGUGUGGCAGGGUGAAAGGGGGCGAGUUUGACAAAGUGAUGGAGAAAGAGUGUGACAGGAUUAGGGGGUAAGUAUGACAGUGCGAGAGAAUGUGAGGGUAAUAGGGUGAAUUUGGCAGUGCAAUGGGAGGUUAGUAUGGCAUGGGUGAGUGACAGGAUUGGUGGAGUUAUUGUGAGUGUGGCAGGGUGAAGGGGGUGACAGUGUGUGUGUUGAGGUGACAGUUACACAGACACACCCGUGCAUACACUGACACACAUGCAGAUAUACAAACACACAUUGACACACAUGCAGAUACACACCAUAAAACACAUACAGAUUGAUACACAGACACACAUGCUGAUACACAGACACACAAAGAUACAUAUAUACACGCAAACAUGCAUAUACACAAAAACUUAAGGAAAAACAUUGAAAUACACAUAAUAAAACUCAUACAGAUACACAGGGCACACACUGACAUGCAGAUACGCAGACAUACAGAUACACAUGCAGACAAAUAGAUACACAAACACACAAACACAAACACAUACAUACAGAGACAUACAUAGAGAGACACACAUACAUUAGUCACCCUCCUGUUUCCUGCCUUUUAGAUGCUGGAGGAUGACUUCCCUGGUAAAAUUUUGCCAUCCGGUGGCCUUAACAUCUUGGACCACCCGAUGGGCCCCUGAACGUGCGGUUCUACUGCGCGCGCCAGGGCCGCAACACAUGGCGGUGGGAAACCGAUUACAGUGGUUCACAGGGCGGCUGGGCUCCCUGGAGUGGCGGGCCCGGUUGCAGCUGCGACCCCUGCGACUGUGGUAGUUCCGCCACUGUGGAUGAUCAGUGUAUUAUAGACUAGUGCCUCCAAAUCCCAAAGUCCCUGAUUGUGAUCAAGAACAGACAUUUUUCUCCCUAUACCCCUCUUCUCCUGUUGUGCUUUGUAUCAGCACACAUUGAUAUGUAGUUGGCUACAUGUGCCUGGGAUUAAGGACUGUAGUGUGUGUUUGGGGUGAAAUGAACAGUUGUGUUUCUGUUAUGGUUAGUUUAUCCCCCUCCCUUGGGCCAGGAAGAAGGAAUACUAAUUAGCAUGCCCUAUCAAUUUUGGCACACCCAUCCUUUGCAUGAGGUAUGACAUUGCAAAAUGUGGGCCAAAAGCACUGGAUUUGUAUAAUUCUCCAACUCUGAUGUUUUUUCCUAACUUUUGCAGUGUUGUUUACAGUUAGACUCAGUCACAUAUGUAUUCUCAGUCACGCGUUUAAUUAGCUGUCACUUUCAUACAUGCCCUUUCACACACAGAAACAUUUGAAUGUUACUAAAAAUGUGUGCAUGUGAUUGCACACAAUUUAAAACACUAUCUAUAAUUAUGGGUGUAUAUCAGUCUCACCCAAACACUAGUCGAGACUUAGUAUAUGUAUAUAUGUAGUCACAUAUUGUAGCAGUAUACCCACAAGUUGGUUCAUUGUUGCCAUUAUUCCAUUGUGUAGAAAAAUAAUAAAGUAUUUAAGCAAGAGAGGUGCAUUCAGAUUACUCUGGCUUUCAAGUAUAUCCUGGGAUGUUACCUACUAUUACCCAAUUUAAUGGUACUCAUAUUAUGUACCUCGUAGGGAUAGGUAGAUAGGUUAGGUUCUCUUGCAAGUGUACAUUAGUCUCACCCAAACACUAGUCGAGACUUAGUGAAAGGCGAAUAAGAAGUCUUAUUAAGGCAAAUUGUUUCAACAGAAGGUCCCCGGGAAGAAUAGAUUGCGACAUACCUGGCACCUUUGUAUGUGAGCUGGUAAUUUAAUUAUCUACAGGACACGUUGGCACCGGGUUAAGAAAAAAUGAUAAAACAAAGCUUCCAUGCCCAGAUUCCCACAACACUGUCAUAUCUGGAAAGGUCUCUCUGGAGCACCCAUUCUGCCCAAAAACCGAUUGGAUAUGGCUAGCCCAAAUUAGAUGGAAGUCCAAAGUUUAGCGGGACACGGAUAGUCACCAAUCCAGCACAGAGUUCCAGAGUGUUUGGUAGUGAAAGUAAAUUUACUUUUACCAGAUGAGUUAGCUGACGCCCAGGUACCCCAUGAAUGUGCAGCACUAAUGGCACAAGAGACAGCUGGUUUUUCGCAUGUAAUUGAUUCUCUAUUAUCUAAUUUUUUGUAGAUGGUUCCAGAUAUGGUGAUGAGAAGGGUAAUUUCCACACUGGAUAUGCUGUAGUAUCUACACAUGAGUUAAUAAAAGCUGAACCACUCGCUCCUCACUGCUCUGCACAGGAGGCUGAGCUGAAGGCACUCACUGAAGCGUGCAAACUGGCCUCUGGUAAGACAGCUAAUAUU
rnacentral:lncRNA from 1 species